ensembl:lncRNA
GGCUUUAUAAAAGUAUAAUGAAAUUAUACCAGUAAAAUGACCUUAUAAAAUGACUUUAUAACAGUAGAAUUACCUUAUAACCUGACUUUAUAACAGUAGAAUGACUUAAUAAUGACUUUAUAACAGUAGAAUGACUAUAACAUGACUUUAUUACAGUAGAAUGACUUUAUAACAUGACUUUAUAACAGUAGAAUGACCUUAUAACAAGACUUUAUAUCAGUAGAAUGACUUUAUAACAGUAGAAUAUAACAGUAUAACGACUUUAUAACAGUAGAAUGACUUUAUAACAUUACUUUAUUUUCACUAGCUCUGAGCAGCACCAAGCACAUGCUCUACAUGUGAUAAACAUACAAUCAUGCUCGCCUCACGGUAGCACAUCAAGCAGAACGCCCUCCCAUAAACCCUGAGUCUGCUAGAACAAAUACAAAUUCUAGCAGACUAGUAUUGAGACUCAAUGCUAAGGCUGCAGGUGUUUUGGCUAGGGUCAGUCGAUUACUAUGGCUUUCAGAUCAGUGUUAAUGCUAACAGAGAAGUGCAAUGGGAAGAUCUGUUAUAUGGCUAGCAGGUCAGUGCUGGGGCUAACAGGUCAGUGCUGGGGCUAGCAGGUCAGUGCUGGGGCUAGCAGGUCAGUGCUGGGUCACUGACCA